rnacentral:rRNA from 1 species
CGGUAAAACCAGCACCUCAAGUGGUCAGGAGGAUUAUUGGGCCUAAAGCAUCCGUAGCCUGUUCUAUAAGUUUGCGGUUAAAUCUAUACGCUCAACGUAUAGGCUGCCGUAAAUACUGUAGAACUAGGGAGUGGGAGAGGUAGACGGUACUCGAUAGGAAGGGGUAAAAUCCUUUGAUCUAUUGAUGACCACCUGUGGCGAAGGCGGUCUACCAGAACACGUUCGACGGUGAGGGAUGAAAGCUGGGGGAGCAAACCGGAUUAGAUACCCGGGUAGUCCCAGCUGUAAACGAUGCAGACUCGAUGAUGCAAUGGCAUAGAGCUAUUGCAGUAUCGCAGGGAAGCCGUUAAGUUUGCCGCCUGGGAAGUACGUACGCAAGUAUGAAACUUAAAGGAAUUGGCGGGGGAGCACCACAAGGGGUGAAGCCUGCGGUUCAAUUGGAGUCAACGCCAGAAAUCUUACCCGGAGGGACAGCAGAAUGAAGGUCAGGCUGAAGACCUUACCAGACAAGCUGAGAGGUGGUGCAUGGCCGUCGUCAGCUCGUGCCGUGAGAUGUCCUGUUAAGUCAGGUAACGAGCGAGAUCCCUGCCACUAGUUGCUAUCAUUACUCUCAGGAGUAGUGGGGCGAAUUAGUGGGACCGCCACAGUUAAUGUGGAGGAAGGAAGGGGCCACGGCAGGUCAGUAUGCCCCGAAACUCUGGGGCCACACGCGGGCUGCAAUGGUAGUGACAAUGGGCUCCUAACUCGAAAGAGAGAGGCAAUCCACAAACACUACCACAGUUAUGACUGAGGGCUGUAACUCGCCCUCACGAAUAUGGAAUCCCUAGUAACUGCGUGUCAUUACCGCGCGGUGAAUACGUCCCUGCUCC